rnacentral:rRNA from 1 species
CCUACGGGAGGCAGCAGUAAGGAAUAUUGGGCAAUGGACGGAAGUCUGACCCAGCCAUCCCGCGUGCAGGAAGAAUGCCCUAUGGGUUGUAAACUGCUUUUGUUUGGGAAGAAAUGUAUUUUUUCAAGAGUAUUUGACGGUACCAGACGAAUAAGCACCGGCUAACUCCGUGCCAGCAGCCGCGGUAAUACGGAGGGUGCAAGCGUUAUCCGGAAUCACUGGGUUUAAAGGGUGCGUAGGCGGCCAGAUAAGUCAGAGGUGAAAGUUUCCGGCUCAACCG